rnacentral:lncRNA from 1 species
CGGUGCCAAGUUACAUUUCUUCUUAGCACAAGUAUAUAUACAAAAAUAGAGAGAAAUUCAAAUCGAAAAUUGGGACAAAGUGAAUUUUAGAAGAGUAGAGAGAGGGCAGAGAUCAAUGGCGCAAUUAAAUAAUAAUUCAUAAGCCAUGGUUUUCUUGAAAAAGAAAUUAACAAAGUCAAAAGAUGUAAUGCUGCAUAGUUUAAGCUAUCAGAGGUAUUCCAGUCACUGAAAAAUGAAGACUUUGCUCUAUAAAUCUGUUCCAUACACAGCUACAAAAUCAUAUCUCUACUUAAGCAAAAGCAAAAUCAAUACUGAUAGAAAAUAAGUAAUCUUUAAACAAGUCAAACUUAAAUGUCAUCCUUCUUCUUAGUAUCGAUCUAAACAUGUACGAAUCAAAACUAGUAAACUUUUAAAGGCAAAUCCAAACUUAAAGCGAAACUAUUGAAUCCAAAGAAGAAGAGAAAGCUAAACCUUGGGAUCGUUAUGUUUCUUUUGAUCAAGCUGAAUCAGAAUGUCGAAACACUCUGAGAACGGCUGCGUCUUCGGAGAGUGACGACGAAUCUCUAGCAAAUUGUUUUUUGGGUUUUGUGAAUUGUGAAAUACGAAUGUUUUUCCAAGAACGCUAAAUCGAAAACCCUAUCAAAGUGAAUUUUAGAGGAGUAGCGAGAGGCGAGAGAUGGAAAUGGCGGUUCGUCGUUUUGUUUUAGAGAAAAGGGGAAAA